GACGAACGCUGGCGGCGUGCUUAACACAUGCAAGUCGAACGGAAAGGCCCUGCUUUUGUGGGGUGCUCGAGUGGCGAACGGGUGAGUAACACGUGAGUAACCUGCCCUUGACUUUGGGAUAACUUCAGGAAACUGGGGCUAAUACCGGAUAGGAGCUCCUGCUGCAUGGUGGGGGUUGGAAAGUUUCGGCGGUUGGGGAUGGAAUCGCGGCUUAUCAGCUUGUUGGUGGGGUAGUGGCUUACCAAGGCCUUGACGGGUAGCCGGCCUGAGAGGGUGACCGGCCACAUUGGGACUGAGAUACGGCCCAGACUCCUACGGGAGGCAGCAGUGGGGAAUAUUGCACAAUGGGCGGAAGCCUGAUGCAGCAACGCCGCGUGCGGGAUGACGGCCUUCGGGUUGUAAACCGCUUUCGCCUGUGACGAAGCGUGAGUGACGGUAAUGGGUAAAGAAGCACCGGCUAACUACGUG
rnacentral:rRNA from 1 species